CUUCAUUAUAUAUAGUUUGUCGCCCUGUCAGUGCUAUAUCCUGGGGGGCAAAAAUGAGGAGAGGCAAUUGCAGAAUGUCGAGUGUGGUGCCUUGCACAAGCAAGGCAGUCUCGCGAACUGAGUCAAGGAAGGACAUAAUAGAAAUAGUCAAGACCAAGUUGGCAACCAUCAAAGAAGAGCCAGAGCAGGCAGAGAUGUGUGAAUUGAAACGUACACCGGUGAGAGUAAACUUGCAGGUGGCUAAGAG
rnacentral:misc_RNA from 1 species